rnacentral:rRNA from 1 species
GAUGAACGCUGGCGGCGUGCUUAACACAUGCAAGUCGAACGAUUAACCCGCCCUCGGGCGGUUAUAGAGUGGCGAACGGGUGAGUAACACGUGACCAACCUGCCCCUUGCUCCGGGACAACCCAGGGAAACCUCGGCUAAUACCGGAUACUCCGCGCAGCCCGCAUGGGAGGCGCGGGAAAGCCCAGACGGCAAGGGAUGGGGUCGCGGCCCAUUAGGUAGACGGCGGGGUAAUGGCCCACCAAGACGACGAUCGGUAGCCGGACUGAGAGGUUGAACGGCCACAUUGGGACUGAGACACGGCCCAGACUCCUACGGGAGGCAGCAGUGGGGAAUAUUGCACAAUGGGGGAAACCCUGAUGCAGCGACGCCGCGUGGAGGAAGAAGGUCUUCGGAUUGUAAACUCCUGUUGUUGGGGAAGAUAAUGACGGUACCCAACAAGGAAGUGACGGCUAACUACGUGCCAGCAGCCGCGGUAAAACGUAGGUCACAAGCGUUGUCCGGAAUUACUGGGUGUAAAGGGAGCGCAGGCGGGAAGACAAGUUGGAAGUGAAAUCUAUGGGCUCAACCCAUAAACUGCUUUCAAAACUGUUUUUCUUGAGUAGUGCAGAGGUAGGCGGAAUUCCCGGUGUAGCGGUGGAAUGCGUAGAUAUCGGGAGGAACACCAGUGGCGAAGGCGGCCUACUGGGCACCAACUGACGCUGAGGCUCGAAAGUGUGGGUAGCAAACAGGAUUAGAUACCCUGGUAGUCCACACCGUAAACGAUGAUUACUAGGUGUUGGAGGAUUGACCCCUUCAGUGCCGCAGUUAACACAAUAAGUAAUCCACCUGGGGAGUACGACCGCAAGGUUGAAACUCAAAGGAAUUGACGGGGGCCCGCACAAGCAGUGGAGUAUGUGGUUUAAUUCGACGCAACGCGAAGAACCUUACCAAGUCUUGACAUCCCUUGACAGACAUAGAAAUAUGUAAUCUCUUCGGAGCAAGGAGACAGGUGGUGCAUGGUUGUCGUCAGCUCGUGUCGUGAGAUGUUGGGUUAAGUCCCGCAACGAGCGCAACCCUUAUGGUCAGUUACUACGCAAGAGGACUCUGGCCAGACUGCCGUUGACAAAACGGAGGAAGGUGGGGAUGACGUCAAAUCAUCAUGCCCUUUAUGACUUGGGCUACACACGUACUACAAUGGCGUUAAACAAAGAGAAGCGAGACCGCGAGGUGGAGCAAAACUCAGAAACAACGUCCCAGUUCGGACUGCAGGCUGCAACUCGCCUGCACGAAGUCGGAAUUGCUAGUAAUCGUGGAUCAGCAUGCCACGGUGAAUACGUUCCCGGGCCUUGUACACACCGCCCGUCACACCAUGAGAGCCGGGGGGACCCGAAGUCGGUAGUCUAACCGCAAGGAGGACGCCGCCGAAGGUAAAACUGGUGAUUGGGGUG